GACGAACGCUGGCGGCGUGCCUAAUACAUGCAAGUCGAACGAACCGCGACUAGGUGCUUGCACUUGGUCAAGGUGAGUGGCGAACGGGUGAGUAACACGUGGGUAACCUACCUCAUAGUGGGGGAUAACAGUCGGAAACGACUGCUAAUACCGCAUAGGACAUAGGAUCACAUGAUUCUGUGAGGAAAGGUGGCGCAAGCUAUCGCUACGAGAUGGACCCGCGGUGCGUUAGCUAGUUGGUAGGGUAAAGGCCUACCAAGGCGAUGAUGCAUAGCCGACCUGAGAGGGUGAUCGGCCACAUUGGGACUGAGACACGGCCCAAACUCCUACGGGAGGCAGCAGUAGGGAAUCUUCCGCAAUGGACGCAAGUCUGACGGAGCAACGCCGCGUGAGUGAAGAAGGUCUUCGGAUCGUAAAGCUCUGUUGUUAGAGAAGAACAGCGCAUAGAGUAACUGUUAUGCGUGUGACGGUAUCUAACCAGAAAGCAACGGCUAACUACGUG
rnacentral:rRNA from 1 species